rnacentral:rRNA from 1 species
UGGGGAAUAUUGGACAAUGGGCGAAAGCCUGAUCCAGCCAUGCCGCGUGUGUGAAGAAGGUCUUCGGAUUGUAAAGCACGUUAAGUUGGGAGGAAGGGCAUUAACCUAAUACGUUAGUGUUUUGACGUUACCGACAGAAUAAGCACCGGCUAACUCUGUGCCAGCAGCCGCGGAAAUACAGAGGGUGCAAGCGUUAAUCGGAAUUACUGGGCGUAAAGCGCGCGUAGGUGGUUUGUUAAGUUGGAUGUGAAAUCCCCGGGCUCAACCUGGGAACUGCAUUCAAAACUGACUGACUAGAGUAUGGUAGAGGGUGGUGGAAUUUCCUGUGUAGCGGUGAAAUGCGUAGAUAUAGGAAGGAACACCAGUGGCGAAGGCGACCACCUGGACUAAUACUGACACUGAGGUGCGAAAGCGUGGGGAGCAAACA